rnacentral:rRNA from 1 species
CCUACGUGCGGCAGCAGUGAGGAAUAUUGGUCAAUGGACGGAAGUCUGAACCAGCCAUGCCGCGUGCAGGAAGACGGCUCUAUGAGUUGUAAACUGCUUUUGUACAAGGGUAAACCUGAAUACGUGUAUUCAGCUGAAAGUACUGUACGAAUAAGGAUCGGCUAACUCCGUGCCGGCAGCCGCGGUAAUACGUAGGUGGCAAGCGUUAUCCGGAAUGACUGGGCGUAAAGGGUGCGUAGGUGGUUUAGUAAGUUGGAGGUGAAAUUCCGGGGCUCAACCUCGGCGCUACCGCCAAAACUGUGAGGCUAGAGUGCAGUAGGGGUAAGUGGAAGUCCUGGUGUAGCGGUGGAAUGCGUAGAUAUUAGGAGGAACAUCAGGGGCGAAGGCGACUUACUGGACUGUAACUGACACUGAGGCACGAAAGCGUGGGGAGCAAACAGGAUUAGAUACCCCAGUAGUC